rnacentral:rRNA from 1 species
AUUGAACGCUGGCGGCAGGCCUAACACAUGCAAGUCGAACGCGUGGCGGACGGGUGAGUAAUGUCUGGGAAACUGCCUUAUGGCGGGGGUUACCUCCUGGAAACGGUAGCUAAUACCGCAUACCAUCAGAUGUUCCCUGAUGGGAUUAGCUUUUUGGUGGGGUAACGGCUGACCAAGGCCACGAUCCCUAGCUGGUCUGAGAGGAUGACCGGCCACACUGGAACUGAGACACGGUCCAGACUCCUACGGGAGGCAGCAGUAGGGAAUAUUGCGCAAUGGGCGCAAGCCUGAUGGAGCCAUGCCGCGUGUGUGAAGAAGGCCUUCGGGUUGUAAAGUACUUUCAGCAGGGAGGCGGUACCCGCAGAAGAAGCAACGGCUAACUCCGUGCCAGCAGCCGCGGUAAUAC